rnacentral:rRNA from 1 species
GAUGAACGCUGGCGGCGUGCCUAAUACAUGCAAGUCGAGCGAACGGACGAGAAGCUUGCUUUUCUGAUGUUAGCGGCGGACGGGUGAGUAACACGUGGAUAACCUACCUAUAAGACUGGGAUAACUUCGGGAAACCGGAGCUAAUACCGGAUAAUAUUUUGAACCGCAUGGUUCAAAAGUGAAAGACGGUCUUGCUGUCACUUAUAGAUGGAUCCGCGCUGCAUUAGCUAGUUGGUAAGGUAACGGCUUACCAAGGCAACGAUGCAUAGCCGACCUGAGAGGGUGAUCGGCCACACUGGAACUGAGACACGGUCCAGACUCCUACGGGAGGCAGCAGUAGGGAAUCUUCCGCAAUGGGCGAAAGCCUGACGGAGCAACGCCGCGUGAGUGAUGAAGGUCUUCGGAUCGUAAAACUCUGUUAUUAGGGAAGAACAUAUGUGUAAGUAACUGUGCACAUCUUGACGGUACCUAAUCAGAAAGCCGCGGCUAACUACGUGCCAGCAGCCGCGGUAAUACGUAGGUGGCAAGCGUUAUCCGGAAUUAUUGGGCGUAAAGCGCGCGUAGGCGGUUUUUUAAGUCUGAUGUGAAAGCCCACGGCUCAACCGUGGAGGGUCAUUGGAAACUGGAAAACUUGAGUGCAGAAGAGGAAAGUGGAAUUCCAUGUGUAGCGGUGAAAUGCGCAGAGAUGUGGAGGAACACCAGUGGCGAAGGCGACUUUCUGGUCUGUAACUGACGCUGAUGUGCGAAAGCGUGGGGAUCAAACAGGAUUAGAUACCCUGGUAGUCCACGCCGUAAACGAUGAGUGCUAAGUGUUAGGGGGUUUCCGCCCCUUAGUGCUGCAGCUAACGCAUUAAGCACUCCGCCUGGGGAGUACGACCGCAAGGUUGAAACUCAAAGGAAUUGACGGGGGCCCGCACAAGCGGUGGAGCAUGUGGUUUAAUUCGAGGCAACGCGAAGAACCUUACCAAAUCUUGACAUCCUUUGACAACUCUAGAGAUAGAGCCUUCCCCUUCGGGGGACAAAGUGACAGGUGGUGCAUGGUUGUCGUCAGCUCGUGUCGUGAGAUGUUGGGUUAAGUCCCGCAACGAGCGCAACCCUUAAGCUUAGUUGCCAUCAUUAAGUUGGGCACUCUAAGUUGACUGCCGGUGACAAACCGGAGGAAGGUGGGGAUGACGUCAAAUCAUCAUGCCCCUUAUGAUUUGGGCUACACACGUGCUACAAUGGACAAUACAAAGGGCAGCGAAACCGCGAGGUCAAGCAAAUCCCAUAAAGUUGUUCUCAGUUCGGAUUGUAGUCUGCAACUCGACUACAUGAAGCUGGAAUCGCUAGUAAUCGUAGAUCAGCAUGCUACGGUGAAUACGUUCCCGGGUCU